GAGUUUGAUCCUGGCUCAGAACGAACGCUGGCGGCAGGCCUAACACAUGCAAGUCGAGCGCUACCUUCGGGUGGAGCGGCGGACGGGUUAGUAACGCGUGGGAACGUACCCAGAUCUAAGGAAUAGCCACUGGAAACGGUGAGUAAUACCUUAUACGCCCUUCGGGGGAAAGAUUUAUCGGAUUUGGAUCGGCCCGCGUUAGAUUAGAUAGUUGGUGGGGUAAUGGCCUACCAAGUCUACGAUCUAUAGCUGGUUUUAGAGGAUGAUCAGCAACACUGGGACUGAGACACGGCCCAGACUCCUACGGGAGGCAGCAGUGGGGAAUCUUGGACAAUGGGCGCAAGCCUGAUCCAGCCAUGCCGCGUGAGUGAUGAAGGCCUUAGGGUCGUAAAGCUCUUUCGCCAGAGAUGAUAAUGACAGUAUCUGGUAAAGAAACCCCGGCUAACUCCGUGCCAGCAGCCGCGGUAAUACGGAGGGGGUUAGCGUUGUUCGGAAUUACUGGGCGUAAAGCGUACGUAGGCGGAUUAGUCAGUCAGAGGUGAAAUCCCAGGGCUCAACCCUGGAACUGCCUUUGAUACUGCUAGUCUUGAGUUCGAGAGAGGUGAGUGGAAUUCCAAGUGUAGAGGUGAAAU
rnacentral:rRNA from 1 species